AAAGAGAAGAGGGGUGGAGGUGAGUGGCAUGUGACCCGUCGGCCACAUAUCCUCCCUGCACAAGCCACUCCCCAUUUUUUUAAUUCAUUUCUAUAUUCAUUUUUUCUUACACAUUUCUUUUUGUAUUCAUUUCUCUCUAUUUAUUUUAUUUUAUUAAUACAUCAUUUUUUUUCUUAUUCAUUUAAGUUUUCAUUUUUCUUUAUCAUCUUCAAAUAUUAUUUUCUUCCUCAUUUCUUUUAUCAUUUUACUACUUUUUUAUUUCACCCCGAUUUAUUUUAUUAAGCUCUCAUCAUUUUCCAUUUACUUUUUUUUCUUUACUAUUUU
rnacentral:lncRNA from 1 species